rnacentral:rRNA from 1 species
GACGAACGCUGGCGGCGUGCUUAACACAUGCAAGUCGAACGGAAAGGCCCUGCUUUUGUGGGGUGCUCGAGUGGCGAACGGGUGAGUAACACGUGAGUAACCUGCCCUUGACUUUGGGAUAACUUCAGGAAACUGGGGCUAAUACCGGAUAGGAGCUCCUGCUGCAUGGUGGGGGUUGGAAAGUUUCGGCGGUUGGGGAUGGACUCGCGGCUUAUCAGCUUGUUGGUGGGGUAGUGGCUUACCAAGGCUUUGACGGGUAGCCGGCCUGAGGGGGUGACCGGCAACAUUGGGACUGAGAUACGGCCCAGACUCCUAGGGGAGGCAGCAGUGGGGAAUAUUGCACAAUGGGCGGAAGCCUGAUGCGGCAACGCCGCGUGCGGGAUGACGGCCUUCGGGUUGUAAACCGCUUUCGCCUGUGACGAAGCGUGAGUGACGGUAAUGGGUAAAGAAGCACCGGCUAACUACGUG